rnacentral:rRNA from 1 species
CGGCGGACGGGUGAGUAACACGUGGGUGACCUACCUAUAAGACUGGGAUAACUCCGGGAAACCGGGGCUAAUACCGGAUAACACAUGAAACCGCAUGGUUUCAUGAUGAAAGACGGUUUUUGCUGUCACUUAUAGAUGGACCCGCGGCGUAUUAGCUAGUUGGUAAGGUAACGGCUUACCAAGGCAACGAUACGUAGCCGACCUGAGAGGGUGAUCGGCCACACUGGAACUGAGACACGGUCCAGACUCCUACGGGAGGCAGCAGCA